rnacentral:rRNA from 1 species
UACAGAAACUACAAAGGAAUUCGACGGGACCCCGCACAAGCGGUGGAUCAUGUUGUUUAAUUCGAUGAUACGCGAAGAACCUUACCAGGUCUUGACAUCCCCCGCGAUGCUUUAGAGAUAAAGCGGAGGUAUUCGGGGAGACAGGUGGUGCAUGGUUGUCGUCAGCUCGUGUCGUGAGAUGUUGGGUUAAGUCCCGCAACGAGCGCAACCCUAUUGCUAGUUACCAUCAUUAAGUUGGGGACUCUAGCGAGACUGCCAGUGAUAAACUGGAGGAAGGUGGGGAUGACGUCAAAUCAUCAUGCCCCUUAUGACCUGGGCUACAAACGUGAUACAAUGGCUGGAACAAAGGGAUGCGAAGCAGUGAUGUGGAGCGAAACCCAUAAAAACAGUCUCAGUUCGGAUUGAAGUCUGCAACUCGACUUCAUGAAGUCGGAAUCGCUAGUAAUCGCGGAUCAGAACGCCGCGGUGAAUACGUUCUCGGGGUUU